rnacentral:lncRNA from 1 species
GCACUUGAUGAAGAAGACGCGGCCAUCCCGGCACACCCCGUAGGACCAAUGCUCAGGCUUUGCUAUCAGGAUGAUGCUGGGCUCAUAAAAUGAGUUAGGGAGGAUUCCCUCUUUUUCUAUUGAUUGGAAUAAUUUCAGAAGGAAUGGUACCAGCUCCUCCUUGUACCUCUGGUAGAAUUCGGCUGUGAAUCCAUCUGGUCCUGGACUUUUUUUGGUUGGCCAAAGGUGUCCAAACUAUACAGACCCACAGAAUCUAACAACAGAUGUCUCAAUAUUCCUCGUCCUAGAACUCUCAGAGGAUCCAGAACUACAGCCGGUCCUCGCUGGGCUGUUCCUGUCCAUGUGCCUGGUCAUGGUGCUGGGGAACCUGCUCAUCAUCCUGGCCGUCAGCCCUGACUCCCACCUCCACACCCCCAUGUACUUCUUCCUCUCCAACCUGUCCUUGCCUGACAUCGGUUUCACCUCCACCAUGGUCCCCAAGAUGAUUGUGGACAUCCAAUCUCACAGCAGUCAUCUCCUAUGCGGGCUGCCUGACUCAGAUGUCUCUUUUUGCCAUUUUUGGAGGCAUGGAAGAAAGACAUGCUCCUGAGUGUGAUGGCCCUAUGACCGGUUUGUAGCCAUCUGUCACCCUCUAUAUUAUUCAGCCAUCAUGAACCCAUGUUUCUGUGGCUUUCUAGUUCUGUUGUCUUGUUGUCUCAGUCUUUUAGACUCCCAGCUGCACAAUUUGAUUGCCUUGCAAAUUACCUGCUUCAAGGAUGUGGAAAUUCCUAAUUUCUUCUGUGACCCUUCUCAACUCCCCCACCAUGCGUGUUGUGACACCUUCACCAAUAACAUAGUCAUGUAUUUCCCUGCUGCCAUAUUUGGUUUUCUUCCCACCUCGGGGAUCCUUUUCUCUUACUAUAAAAUUGUUUCCUCCAUUCUGAGGGUUUCAUCAUCAGGUGGGAACUAUAAAGCCCUCUCUGCCUGUGGGUCUCA